rnacentral:lncRNA from 1 species
UAUCUCUAGAAGGAAUGUUGGGGAGCUGAGAAGGGCUGUGAGCCAUGGUUGCUAAGUGUUACUCUUGGUUCUGUAUUAUGUAAGAAUCUCUGCAUUGUGUUUAUACUAAAACAGUAAGUAAAGGGUGCUUUAAUUCUGGUUUUACAUAAGAAGCGCGGGAGUUUGCCCAAUUUUCUCUCAAGUAAGAAGAUUUGGGCCCAGCAUGGAGGAUCGGACAUCAGGCAGUGUGAACGACUGAACCCCAUCCACAGGCGCAGGAAGAAUCAAAAAGUCAAUCACUUCAGCGGAAGUUCUAAGGAAGUCCUUUCAUUGGCCAGAGGUCUUGGAGAAUGUGGGGGUUCCUCCCAGGUUAAAAGUUCCCUUCUUCCGCCCCUCUUCGGACACAGUGUUUGGAUCCCCUUCCAGCCUCGUGGAAGCUGUCUUUCUCUCUCCUGGAUUUCCCCUCUGGAGUCCCCUUCCACACUCUUCAUGGAAGUUUUCUCUUCUCCUUUUUCUCUUCCUCUACCUAAAAUAAAAUCACUUUUCUGCAAAAACUCUGUU